GAUGAACGCUGGCGGCGUGCCUAACACAUGCAAGUCGAGCGAGAAAUGAAGAGAAGAAACUUCGGUAGAUUUUCAUCAUGGAAAGCGGCGGACGGGUGAGUAACGCGUAGGCAACCUGCCCCGUACAGGGGGAUAGCCAUCGGAAACGAUGAUUAAGACCCCAUAAAGCGGAAUAUACACAUGUAAAAACCGUCAAAGAUUUAUCGGUAUGGGAUGGGCCUGCGUCUGAUUAGAUAGUUGGUAGGGUAACGGCCUACCAAGUCAACGAUCAGUAGCCGACCUGAGAGGGUGAACGGCCACAUUGGAACUGAGACACGGUCCAAACUCCUACGGGAGGCAGCAGUGGGGAAUAUUGCACAAUGGAGGGAACUCUGAUGCAGCAAACGCCGCGUGAAGGAAGAAGGUCUUCGGAUCGUAAACUUCUGU
rnacentral:rRNA from 1 species